GUGAAUCAUCGAAUCUUUGAACGCAAAUUGCACUCUCUUCGGAGAGUAUGCCUGUUUGAGGGUCAGCUUAAAAAAAAUCGACUUAGUCGUUGAUACGCGGUAACAUUCGUCGGAAAUUGGGUCAUCUUAAAUCUCUGGGUCUAAGCGGCCUAAAAUUUUCUUUAUGAUUUAAAGAACGUUUCUAAGAUUUUAUUUUCUUAUACGUUUAAGGUAUCGAUCUUUAUUAGACGUGGCCGUUGCAUUGGUUCUU
rnacentral:misc_RNA from 1 species